rnacentral:rRNA from 1 species
UACGAAGGGGACUAGCGUUGUUCGGAAUCAUUGGGCGUAAAGGGCGCGUAGGCGGUCGUGACAAGUCACUUGUGAAAUCUCCGGGCUUAACUCGGAACGGUCAAGUGAUACUGUCGGACUAGAGUACAGAAGGGGCAACUGGAAUUCUCGGUGUAGCGGUGAAAUGCGUAGAUAUCGAGAGGAACACCUGCGGCGAAGGCGGGUUGCUGGGCUGAUACUGACGCUGAGGCGCGAAAGCCAGGGGAGCGAACGGG